UUUUCGCUAUUUUCGACGUUGUUAAAUUGAUCGCAACGUUCGUAAGAUAAAUUGCGUCGCUUCGCGAGUACGAUCGUCGUGCUAGCAUCAUCGUGAGUAAUGUGAGCGUUCUGAAAUUCAAGGGUGAUUAUCGUAUUUUAAUUUUACUGCAUAUAAGAGAGAAAUAUAUCCUCAAGUAUAACUGUAGUCGAAUCUAUUGAUACUACUUGAUUGAUGCGGAGUUCUUGUCGGUUAGCUCGAGAUUUCUCUAUUAUUGUGAUUAAUUAGGGAAAUAUUUUCUGUUUCAAAUCUGGGUAAAGCUUUUUGACGUGGUGAGAACGUUUGUAAUUUCGGUGAUAUGCAGCACCGAAGGAUUCGGUUCGGGCCAUGCAGAGUCGGCUCGAAGAAUCGAAAUCGAAACAAGACCGACAUAAGUUGGCGAUGUUUUGACUUAGCAGAGCUUACGAUCGAUCGAGACGCUGUUCUGCGAAGAUUACGGAUGCAGUAGAUGGCAGAUGCGGUACCGGAGGAUCCGGUUCGGGCCAUGCAGAGUCGAUUUGCAGAUUCGGUGAGUGAAAGAAAUGGGAAAGAUACUAAGGUGAAAGUACAAAGAUUUUAGGUAAUGGGUUCGUUUUCAAGAUUUCAUUACAAUCAAUGCGAUUUACCUUGUUCGUAUUAUUUUGCAUGUUUUGGGUAAUGUGAUGGGAUUCAGUGAUAUGAGUCGCACUUUUCCUUGUUUUAAGAAGUAAGAAUCACUUU